rnacentral:rRNA from 1 species
GAUUUCUGGACUCAAGAAUUUGGCCGGCCACGGUUUCGUGUGUUAGUGCUUUGUUCUGUGUUCAUCCUUCCAAUCGCUCUUGGCUCUUCUUCAUUGAUUGGUCAGGAGUAUUGGAUCUUUUACUUUGAAAAAAUUAGAGUGUUUCAAGCAGGCUUUAUGCUAUGAAUACAUUAGCAUGGAAUAAUAAUUUAGGACUUCGGUUCUAUUUUGUUGGUUUCUAGGACUGAAGUAAUGAUUGAUAGGGAUAGUUGGGGGUGCUAGUAUUCAGCGGCCAGAGGUGAAAUUCUCGGAUUCGCUGAAGACUAACUUAUGCGAAAGCAUU